UCUGACCUCAAAUCAGGUAGGAUUACCCGCUGAACUUAAGCAUAUCAAUAAGCGGAGGAAAAGAAACUAACAAGGAUUCCCUUAGUAACUGCGAGUGAAGUGGGAAAAGCUCAAAUUUAAAAUCUGGCAGUCUGAUUUUUUAUCUUUGGCUGUCCGAGUUGUAAUCUAGAGAAGUGCUACCUGUACUGGACCAUGUAUAAGUCUCCUGGGAUGGAGCAUCAUAGAGGGUGAGAAUCCUGUCUUUGACAUGGACUGCCGGUGUGUUGUGGUGUACUUUCAAAGAGUCGGGUUGUUUGGGAAUGCAGCUCUAAAUGGGUGGUAAACUCCAUCUAAAGCUAAAUAUUGGCGAGAGACCGAUAGCGAACAAGUACCGUGAGGGAAAGAUGAAAAGUACUUUGGAAAGAGAGUUAAACAGUAUGUGAAAUUGUUGAAAGGGAAACACUUGAUGUCAGUUGUGUUAGCCUAGGGAUCAGCCCAGCAUUUUUGCUGGGUGAACUUCCUGGUCUGACAGGCCAACAUCAGUUUUGACUGGCAGAAAAAGGUAGAAGGAAUGUGGCACCUUUUAGGUGUGUUAUAGCCUUCUGUCAGAUGUGGCAGUUGAGACUGAGGGAUGCAGCGCGCCGUAAGGCUGGGUUUCGACCACGCCCGUGCUUAGGAUGUUGGCUUAAUGGCAUCAAUUGACCCGUCUUGAAACACGGACCAAGGAGUCUAACAUGCCUGCGAGUAUUUGGGUGGACAAACCCUUGUGCACAAUGAAAGUGAAAAUUGAGAUCCCUGUCAUGGGGAGCAUUGAUGCCCGGACCUGAGCUUUUAGCGAUGGAUCUGCGGUAAAGCAUGCAUGUUGGGACCCGAAAGAUGGUGAACUAUGCCUGAAUAGGGUAAAGCCAGAGGAAACUCUGGUGGAGGCUCGUAGCGAUUCUGACGUGCAAAUCGAUCGUCGAAUUUGGGU
rnacentral:rRNA from 1 species